GAUGAACGCUAGCGGCAGGCUUAACACAUGCAAGUCGAGGGGUAACAGGGAGAAGCUUGCUUUUCCGCUGACGACCGGCGCACGGGUGCGUAACGCGUAUGCAACCUACCUUAUACUGGGGUAUAGCCCGGAGAAAUUCGGAUUAAUCCCCCAUAGUAUUGACUACUCGCAUGAUUGGUUAAUUAAAGGUUACGGUAUAAGAUGGGCAUGCGUCCUAUUAGCUAGAUGGUAAGGUAACGGCUUACCAUGGCAACGAUAGGUAGGGGGCCUGAGAGGGUGAUCCCCCACACUGGUACUGAGACACGGACCAGACUCCUACGGGAGGCAGCAGUGAGGAAUAUUGGUCAAUGGACGCAAGUCUGAACCAGCCAUGCCGCGUGCAGGAAGACGGUCCUAUGGAUUGUAAACUGCUUUUAUUUGUGAAUAAACCCCUUUACGUGUAGAGGGCUGAAGGUAACAAAUGAAUAAGCACCGGCUAACUCCG
rnacentral:rRNA from 1 species